rnacentral:rRNA from 1 species
GACGAACGCUGGCGGCGUGCUUAACACAUGCAAGUCGAGCGGUAAGGCCCUUUCGGGGGUACACGAGCGGCGAACGGGUGAGUAACACGUGGGUGACCCUGCCCUUUAGCUCUGGGAGUAAGACCUCGGGAAACCGGGGUACCGUAAUAACCGGACGUAUGACUCCGCCGGUGCAUGCUGUGGGGUGGGAAAGGACCUUCGUUGCGGCGUGAAGGAUGGGCCCGCGGCCUAUCAGCUUGUUGGUGGGGUGAUGGCCUACCAAGGCGA